UUCAGAUGCUGUUUGCCGGAAUUUUAAUUUAGCAGGAUUGGCAUUUAAUAAAAUUAUGUUCUGAAUGAGCUUUAAUUUGGCUGAAUUUUAAUUUUUGUCAAUUUUUAAAUGGCUGGAGUUUCAACAAGAUGAAGAAAACUAUUUUCAUUUUAUACAAGCCGACUUUUUAUUAACACCGCUGAAGAUCCUUCGAUCCUCAACUAUCGUUACAGGAAAUAAACGACUAAAGUGAAUACUGAACGAAAUGGAAGUGUAUCAUUCUGCUAAAAAAAGGAAGUGCUUACCAUAUGGAAGUUGUAAAAAAGGUGGCGCGAUCUUUCUCUGACAAGUAUUCAACUACUAAAACAGCACAAUCAAAGUUCAUGGAAGUACGCAUCAGCAGAUUUGAAAUAGCGCUCCGGAUUUUAUUUGCUAAUCUGCUGGCUUCCUCGAAGUGGCUGUUCAGAAAACAUCCAAACAUUUGAAGAUUUGAAAGUUUCAAGCGAAGAGAAUGUUGAAAACCUUCAUUUUGCAAAAUUUGUGCAACCUUUCGAAAGUUCAAUUGUAACAGUGAAUAUAUGGUUUUCUUCAUCUUCAUCAUUUGUUCACAUAAAAUCGCAAGGUCCCCAUUGUGCGUUAAUUCAGAAAAUCCACGGGUAAAAAUGCCGGAUUCUACAGCAGUUUUUAUGUAAUCGCUCGUUUUGUUGCAUCUCACCAUUGUUUGCAAGAGCGUAAAUCAAUUCACGCAAAUGCCAAGAUCUCGGGAAAUCGUUUGAAGCAAUGUUUGAACGUACGAAAUUGGAUAGUUGAAUUUUAUGACAUAAUAAAUAGCUGAAGUUAUUAUGUUAUAAUCAUCUUCGAUGUUGUGAAUGUUUUCCAUUAUAUAACCAUUUAUUAAUUCAGGAUCAUUGGAUUUUGCUAAUUUUAACACCUCUUGAACAUGGUUAUCCUCAAGGUCAUCGGGGCAAUUUAUGCUCAUCUUUAAAAUUCUACAAAGUACAAAGAGAAGAGCAAAUAUUUUCAGCAUCUCAACAUAAAACUGGAUUUCGAAAUUUAAAAAAAUGAAAAAAUAGUUUUUACUAGAUAAUGUUUUUUUCUUUCUGAUUUUUGGAAAAUGGUCAAAAUUUUUUUUAACUGAUUCUUUUUAUGACCAUUAAAUUUCUCAAAAAAAUAGUAUAAAAAUGAUUUUAUCCACAUUUGAAAUUAAUUCCUUAAUAUAACGGAAAAUGUUCUCAGACUCUCCUUAAUUUCUAUUUCUUGAAAAU